rnacentral:rRNA from 1 species
GUGGGGAAUAUUGGACAAUGGGCGAAAGCCUGAUCCAGCCAUGCCGCGUGUGUGAAGAAGGUCUUCGGAUUGUAAAGCACUUUAAGUUGGGAGGAAGGGCAGUAAGUUAAUACCUUGCUGUUUUGACGUUACCGACAGAAUAAGCACCGGCUAACUUCGUGCCAGCAGCCGCGGUAAUACGAAGGGUGCAAGCGUUAAUCGGACUUACUGGGCGUACAGCGCGCGUAGGUGGUUUUGUAAGUUGGAGGUGAAAUCCCCGGGCUCAACCUGGGAACUGCCUCCAAAACUGCAUGACUAGAGUACGGUAGAGGGUAGUGGAAUGUCCUGUGUAGCGGUGAAAUGCGUAGAUAUAGGAAGGAACACCAGUGGCGAAGGCGACUACCUGGACUGAUACUGACACUGAGGUGCGAAAGCGUGGGGAGCAAACAGGAUUAGAAACCCCAGUAGUCC